UGCCCUUUGAAAAAUAGUUUAUAUAAAGGGUACUGCCUGCCCAGUGACGUUGUUCAACGGCCGCGGUAUUUUGACCGUGCAAAGGUAGCAUAAUCAUUUGUCUUUUAAAUGAAGGCUAGAAUGAAUGGCAAGACGGAAGUUAAGCUGUCUCUUUUUUUAUGAUCUUGAAAUUAAUUUUCUUGUGAAGAAGCAAGGAUUAAAUCGUGGGACGAGAAGACCCUAUUGAGCUUAAAUAAAAAUAUUAAAUGAUAUAAAAUUAUGUUUUAACUAAUAGAAUAUUAAACUUAUAAAUUUAUUGAAAUAUAAUUAAAUUAAUAAUAGUAUUAUUUUGAUUGGGGCAAUCGCGGAGAAUAAAAUCCUCCGCUAAAAUUUAGAAAAUUAAUUAUUUAAUGAAUAAAUAUUAUUUUUAAAUGAUCCUCUUAAUUAAGUGAUCAAAGGAACAAGUUACCUUAGGGAUAACAGCGUAAUUUUUUUGGAGAGUUCAUAUUGAUAAAAAAGUUUGCGACCUCGAUGUUGGAUCGGGAUUUCCAGGGGAUGCAGUAGUUCCCAAGGGUUGGUCUGUUCGUCCAUUAAAAUCCU
rnacentral:rRNA from 1 species